rnacentral:misc_RNA from 1 species
GAUGAAGAACGUAGCGAAAUGCGAUAAGUAAUGUGAAUUGCAGAAUUCCGUGAAUCAUCGAAUCUUUGAACGCACAUUGCGCCCCCUGGUAUUCCGGGGGGCAUGCCUGUCCGAGCGUCAUUGCAACCUUCAAGCGCGGCUUGUGUGUUGGGUCUCGUCCCGCGUGGACGGGCCCAAAAGGCAGUGGCGGCGUCCCGACAUGGUGCCCGAGCGUAUGGGAAUCCUCUUCCGCUCGAAUCGGCCCAUGCGGCGCUGGUCGUAACCAAAUUUUUUACCGGUUGACCUCGGAUCAGGUAGGGAUACCCGCUGAACUUAAGCAUAUCAAUAAGCGGAGGA